UCCAGACUCCUACGGGAGGCAGCAGUGGGGGAUAUUGCACAAUGGGGGGAACCCUGAUGCAGCGACGCCGCGUGGGUGAAGGAGCGUUUCGGCGCGUAAAGCCCUAUCGGCAGGGAAGAAGGAGGACGGUACCUGACUAAGAAGCCCCGGCUAACUACGUGCCAGCAGCCGCGGUAAUACGUAGGGGGCAAGCGUUAUCCGGAUUUACUGGGUGUAAAGGGGGCGCAGACGGCAGCGCAAGCCAGGAGUGAAAGCCCGGGGCCCAACCCCGGGACUGCUCUUGGAACUGCGCGGCUGGAGUGCAGGAGGGGCAGGCGGAAUUCCUGGUGUAGCGGUGAAAUGCGUAGAUAUCAGGAGGAACACCGGUGGCGAAGGCGGCCUGCUGGACUGCGACUGACGUUGAGGCCCGAAAGCGUGGGGAGCAAACAGGAUUAGAUACCCCGGUAGU
rnacentral:rRNA from 1 species